rnacentral:lncRNA from 1 species
AAACAACCAUAAAAAGGGCGUGAGAACUAUUAACAAUAGUUCCCAGUGGGUAAGCCGCCAGCCUCGGCGAAUUACACCACUAGGCUCAUGAUGUACUAAAUGGAAAGUAAAAGCAAUAAUUGCAUGAUGCUAACAAGUAAUGAGCAUGUAAUUGCAGGAUACCUUUCUAAUGCUAAGCAAUUAAUAAGCAUAUAAACAACAUGUAAUAGCUUUCUACAGUAAUGAAUUGAACAAUAAAAGCAUAGCAGCUACUGUAAGCAUGAACAUAAAUAUGAAUGUGUAAGCAGAAACUAUACACAAUGACCGGUGAUCAUUCAUUACUGUCCAAUGUCCUUUAGCACUUUCUUUUCAUUCACAGGGACCUACCCAAGGUAGUCCAGCUUGCGCCGCGCCUAAUGGCCCCGUGGUAGUAUACACUCCCCACGGCAAUCCACUUCGGCACCCAAUCCCGCACGGGCGAGCAACUGUUGCGUAGGUCAACUCCGGAGUGCCGGCUUGUAGGGAGCGACCCUCACAAGCGUGUGCGAAUGAGCACGAUGGCAAGCAAGCAUAUUUCACAGUCCACAGGUCUCAAUUAUCAUGUUUUCAUUUGUAAUGUUCUUACCCUCGAUCCUCUGAUCGGAAUUUCAAAACACGAAUAGUAACAAGAACUAGUAUCCACUAGAUUGUAAAUAUGUAAGAGUAAUGCUAAAUCACAUGGCAUUAUAAUCUUUCCACUAUUAUGGCACUGUUAAUAUAAUCAUAAGCAUGCCAUAGUUCUUUACUUUAGAGUCAAGAGAAUGUUAUUGUUCUCUACUUUAUAAGUGCAUCCUACACUUGCUCAUAAGUCAUUCAAUUGAAUUGAAUAUAAAUAUAAAUAUAAAUACUUUCAUGUAUAUGUCUUCUCUACUUUAUAGAGAUUUCAAUUCAAUUUUACUUCUCAAGUCCUAUAUCAAACACAAAAGCUCACAACAACACCAAUUCUAUAGUACAUAUAGAUCAUAGGGGAGCUCCACUUGCUCUGGUUAGGUCCGACCCACCUAGUACUAGGCUCCAAUAGUCACAAGAAGUCCCAAUAGUCAGCUCAACAAGGUUCCAAUCCUGCUGAACACAAACAUUAACACCGCGUCAAAAUGACGACCGAAAUGUCCGAUUUCGGCCUAAUUUACACUUAGUACAAGGUAAUAGCUUGAAUCCCUGCUUUGGGCUAGUGUAAUACCUCAAGUGUAACCUCCAGGAGUCCUCACAAGUCAGUCGAAGACGAUCCAAGGCUCGAUCGCAAUCUCGCUGCGAACAACGUCAAAACGGCGUCAAAAUGCUUGUAUAUAAGCUUAUAUGGUUCAAUUCUUGCGAAAUUGAAUUUCUAACAGAAAUUCCUGCUUACCCUUGGUUAGAACAGCUUUCAAAUCAGCUUCUAAGAGUACAAGUUCAGCUCAACGAAGCUCGAAGACCUGCUGCGAAGAAAUAAUCCCCAAUUGCAUCAAGUCGCUCCAAUAGUUGCAUUUAGUUCCAAUUUAGCUUCAUAAAUGGCUAAUUCUCUCAAUUAACCUUCAAAGAAGCUUAUCCCUAGUCUAAGGAGCUUAAUUCACAGCUAAGUAAUUCAUUUUUAAUAGCUGAAUUCUCAGUUAUGUCGGUUAGAAGCAAAAACUCAAACUCAAUACUCAAAUCGACAAUUAGAAUGCCGAUAACGGAAAACAUCGAGUCGUUUAUCUUCUCAAGCUUCCAACCAGCGAACUCUUGGUUCGGGGAUGCAAAAAUCCCUCCAAAACGCUCUCUUGCAUGUGCACAAAGGCGCUGCGACGCUCGCAACCAGCGAAGAACGCGCGCGACGACGAAAACGAGCGAAAUCGGCGACUUCUUUGUAGAGAGAGAAAAACCCUAGAGAGAGAGAGAGAGAAAGAUGGGAGAACACUCCUUUGGACUCCAGCAGGCUCCACUGAGUAUCCCUGGUCGAGCUGGGGUCUUAAAGAUAGAGAUCAAGUGUGAAAUUACCGAAAUACCCAAGCUGCCACGUUUCUGCAUUGUGUACCGGUACAAGCUAAUGGCUGUACCGGUACAGCAAGCAGAAAAAGCUGGUUUUCGCCCGAGCAAUGCACUUUCUUGCUUCUAGCCUUCCAAGCACUCUUUAACUUAUUCAAAAACUUGUUCAAGUCCUAUAGAACAUGUAGAAGAGUUCCACACAUCAUUCCUCGCACUCGAAUUUCGCAAUUUGUAAAAAUUCAGUAUAUUACAUUUCACCCCUCUUAAAAAGGAGUUUCGUCCGCGAAACUUUAGAUAAUUACCUUAAGGUUCAGUCGAGAAAAGAUAGUGGUAGUGCUCUCGCAUUGCACUUUCCAGUUUCCAAGUGGCUUCCCGUUCAUCGUGAUUGCUCCACAGUAUCUUCACGUAAGGUAUUUCGCGAUUUCGAAGCCGUUUCACCUCUCGAGCUAAUAUUUUCACUGGAUGCUCCUCAAAGCUCAAAUCUUCUUGUAAAUCCACUGGAGUACGUCCCAAUAUGUGGGUUGGAUCAAAAACAUACUUUCGCAGUGUAGAGACAUGAAACACAUUGUGCACUCCCGAUAAGUUUGGCGGCAAGGCAAGCCGAACGCUACGGGGCCGAUCCGCUCCAACACCUCGUAGGGUCCGAUAUAUCGAGGACUCAGCUUCCCUCCUAUGCCAAAUCUCUUAACUCUUUUCGUUGGUGAUACUUUCAGGAAUACAUGAUCGCCAACCUGAAAUUCCAGUUCUCGCCGACGUUUAUCCACAUAACUCUUUUGUCGACUUUGUGCUGUCAGUAGACGUUCUCGUGCCAGUCGAACUUUAGCUUCAGUUUCGUGCAGUAUAUCUGGACCCAAAACUAAUCUUUCUCCCACUUCGCUCCAAUGAAGUGGUGAUCUGCACUUUCUACCAUAAAGGGCUUCAAAAGGUGCCAUCUGAAUACUUGCUUGAUAACUAUUGUUAUAAGCAAAUUCAGCCAUCGGCAGGAACUGUGGCCAACUGCCCUGGUAAUCAAUCACACAGGCCCUCAACAUAUCCUCAAAGGUCUGGAUAGUACGUUCGGACUUCCCAUCACUCUGGGGGUGGAAAGCAGUACUAAAAUCCAAUCGAGUACCCAUGGCCUCCUGUAAACUCUUCCAGAAAUGUGAAACGAAUCGGGUGUCUCGAUCUGAAACAAUCGAAGCAGGUACUCCGUGUAAACGCACAAUUUCAUCAAGAUACACUUGUGCGAGUCUCUCCGCCGACCAGACUGUAUGAAUCGGAAUAAAGUGGUCAGAUUUGGUCAAUCUAUCAACAAUUACCCAGAUUGUGUCGUGACCUGCUUGUGAGCGAGGUAAUCCCACGAUAAAAUCCAUAGUGAUCCUCUCCCACUUCCACACUAGUAUGGGUAAGCUCUGAAGUUUUCCCGCAGGAAGUCGAUGCUCAGCCUUAACCUGCUGACAGGUUAAGCAUCUGGCCACAAAAUCUGCAAUUUCCUUUUUCAUUCCAAGCCACCAGUAAUUCAGCUUCAAAUCUUUAUACAUUUUCGUACUCCUAGGGUGUAAAGCAUACGGCGCCCGAUGUGUUUCUGUUAGAAUCUCUUCCUUAAUACCAGGAUCCGCCGGUACACAAACUCUAUCCCCGAUUGGAGAACCCAGAACGGUGGUGGGUUUUACGAAUUCGGCCCAAUUCUCAAAUCAGGAUAAUAUAGAGUAUAUAUCCUGAUAGAUCCCAGAGUGUCAACGUUUCAAAUAUGUCUAGUAUUUUCGAAUUUCAUAGACAAAUGAGUUUUUCUUAAUUUGUACUCUGUUGCAUCUACCAACCUCAACGAGUUCCUAAUACUAAACUGAUAGGAGAUAGUAGGCCGUUUUCGAUUACAACAUCGUCUACGAAAUUCAGCUUUUAGCUGCCUUUUAAACCGCUACAGCUAUUGAAACGUUGGUAACAACCAUUUCCUUUACCUCGUUAACUUCAACCUUCAACAUCGAGGAUUGUGCGGAACCUCGGAAUACAGCAAUCACCACGUUGGAUGGGACUAGCUAGCUUAAUUUCUUUUCGUUCGAGUUCUACUUAAAAACGUUUUCGAAGUUCGUUUUUAGUGAUAACUAAUACAACCACUAAAAGCUCACCUACUAGUCCCUGACAACUUUANNNNNNNNNNNNNNNNNNNNNNNNNNNNNNNNNNNNNNNNNNNNNNNNNNNNNNNNNNNNNNNNNNNNNNNNNNNNNNNNNNNNNNNNNNNNNNNNNNNNNNNNNNNNNNNNNNNNNNNNNNNNNNNNNNNNNNNNNNNNNNNNNNNNNNNNNNNNNNNNNNNNNNNNNNNNNNNNNNNNNNNNNNNNNNNNNNNNNNNNNNNNNNNNNNNNNNNNNNNNNNNNNNNNNNNNNNNNNNNNNNNNNNNNNNNNNNNNNNNNNNNNNNNNNNNNNNNNNNNNNNNNNNNNNNNNNNNNNNNNNNNNNNNNNNNNNNNNNNNNNNNNNNNNNNNNNNNNNNNNNNNNNNNNNNNNNNNNNNNNNNNNNNNNNNNNNNNNNNNNNNNNNNNNNNNNNNNNNNNNNNNNNNNNNNNNNNNNNNNNNNNNNNNNNNNNNNNNNNNNNNNNNNNNNNNNNNNNNNNNCUAAACUCUUAACCCGGCUUAAGCAUUUUGGGUGGUGGCAAGACCCAAGAGGUUAAGAGAGUUAAGCGUGCUAGGACGGGAGUAGUCCUAGGAUGGGUGACCCCCUGGGAAGUUGGGGCGUCUCAGCAACGCUCGCCGUAGAGGUAGUGGCGCCAAAGCUUUAAAGCAAAUACCACAGCUGCCAAUUCCAGAUCAUGUGUAGGGUAGUUCUUUUCAUAAUCCUUCAACUGGCGAGAUGCAUAAGCAAUUACUCUGCCAUUCUGCAUUAAAACACACCCUAACCCAUUCAGCGACGCAUCGCUGUAAAUUACAUAAUCCAUUCCAGUAACCGGCAGUGCUAGAAUCGGGGCGGUAGUUAAUCAUUUUUUCAGCUCCUGAAAGCUUCUUUCACAUGCUUCACUCCACAGAAACUUAGCUCCUUUAUGUGUGAGUCGAGUGAGAGGGGUAGACAUCUUCGCGAAUCCUUCUACAAAAUCUUUGGUAGUAUCCCGCCAAACCAAGGAAACUCCGAAUCUCUGUCACGCUGGUCGGCCUGGGCCAAUCCGUAAUUGCUUCAAUCUUCUUUGGGUCCACAGCUAUCCCAGUUUCUGAAAUCACAUGGCCCAGAAAUGCCACUUCUCGAAGCCAAAAUUCGCAUUUCUUUAGCUUUGCAAAUAGUUCCUUUUCUCGAAGUACUUGUAACACCACUCUCAAAUGGUUUUCAUGCUCCUCAUCGCUUCGAGAAUAGAUCAAGAUAUCAUCGAUGAAGACGACCACAAACCUGUCCAGAUAGGGUUUAAAGAUAUGGUUCAUUAAAUCCAUAAAGGCUGCUGGGGCAUUUGUUAAUCCGAAUGGCAUGACUGUAAAUUCAUAAUGCCCAUACCGUGUCCUAAAGGCGGUCUUAGAGACAUCUUCAGGCUUGAUCUUAAGCUGAUGAUACCCAGAUUGCAAAUCAAUCUUGGAGUAUACUUUCGAUCCUUGCAGCUGAUCGAAUAAGUCAUCAAUUCUGGGCAAUGGAUAUUUAUUCUUGAUUGUGACUUUGUUGAUUUCUCGAUAAUCCACGCACAAUCGAAGAGAUCCAUCCUUUUUCUUGACAAAUAACACCGGUGCUCCCCAGGGCGAUACACUGGGUCAAAUGAAUCCUUUAUCUAACAGUUCUUGUAACUGUGCUUUCAGCUCUUUCAAUUCAGCGGGUGCCAUCCUAUAAGGCGCUUUAGAAAUAGGGGUAGUCCCAGGAACAAGAUCAAUCACAAACUCAACUUCCCUAUCAGGUGGCAUGCCCGGCAAUUCAGCUGGAAACACAUCCCCGAAUUCUCGCACAACCGGGAUAUCAUCAAUCUUGACGGCUUUUCCGUCACUCACAGAAAUGCUAGCCAAAUAUGCUACACAACCUCUCCGUAUCAACUGUCGUGCUCUCGACGAGCUAAUAGUCAUUGCGAACAAUGAACUCUGACACCCCUUAUAAACAAACUCUUGCUGACCUAGUUCCCUAAAGGUUACUGUUCUGUUCGUGCAAUCUAUAGUGGCAUAAUACUGUGUCAACCAAUCCAUACCCAAUACUACAUCAAACUCUCCUAGUUUGUGUAGUGCUAAUAAGUCUACUGGCAUAAUCCAGUCGCCUACCCUGACUGGGCAGCGAGGGCAAUACUCACAAAUAUCCAGGGUAUGGUUGGGCACGAUCACUCGUCCCGGAUACAAAGUAGGUACUAACCGUAUGCUAUGCAACUCGGCAAACAGCCGAUCAAUAAAGGAAUGUGAGGCACCAGUAUCAAAUAAUGCACGAACACGAACAUCAUGAAUCAAAAUAAUACCUGCUACGACCUCCUAUGCUGCUGCGGCGCCCUCAGUCUGAGCGGCAUACAUCCGCCCACUUGAACCCUGCUGCGAACUCUCCGACUGCCGCUGUCCUGGUGGUCGCCUAGACUGAUAGGGUGCUGUCAGGGUCCCCUGGCUCGGAGCUGAAGAUGCAGGUGCAGAAGCUGACGAGGGUGCAGGCAAAGAACCUCUCGGGCACUCUGAGCGAAAGUGGCCCUCCUGACCGCAGAGAAAACACCUGCCCCCACGUUGUGGACACUGUGGCGGCACGUGAGGCCCACCACAGAUAACACAACGCGGCGGUCGACGACGCUCAGGUGCUCCACGGGGGGCUGCUGAAGAACCUCGACCCCUCGACUGACCUGACUGGCCCCUCGGAUACUUUGGUGGCUUUCUGAAGGAUUGCUGACCACUGCUCUCAACUGCCGGUCUUUUUCCUUUUCUUCGAUCCACAAUAUCCCUUUCCUUCAUAAUUUCUGCCCCCUUCUCAACAAUCAAGGCCCGGUUCACUACAUCCCUAUAAGUAGAGAGGUUUGACGCCUGGACCAAUCUGAAAAUCGCAGGUCGCAAACCCACCUCAAAGAUACGAGCCUUGUCCUCAUCAUCUCUAACCACAAAAGGAACACAGUGCAGUAAUCGUGAGAACUCUCGCUCGUACUCAGCCACUGUCCUGUCCCCCUGUCUCAAGUUUCUCAAAUCCCUUUCCAUUUGUCUCUUUACACUCUGAGGAAAAUAGUAGUCAACAGUAAUUCCUUGAACCUCGUCCAGGUGAUAGCGGACAAAUCAGCACGGGGGUCCUUACGGAUAUCCACCCACCAUCUGUAAGCCUCGCCAUCAAGGUGGUGUGUCGCAAACCAAACUCGGUACCGCUCCUCAACAAAGGUAUCAUAAAAUAACUUCUCCAUAUGCAUCAGCCAUUUUUCAACCACCCAAUGAUCGGCUUUUUCCCCGUCAAAGAUACGAGGGUUGCAGCGACGGAAUUCAUUUAGUCGCUCCAUCAUCCGCUCUCGCACCUCAACCCCCACCAUCUCAGGUAACACUGUCCCUGCUGCAGGCACUGGUGCUGCUCGUGGCACUACUGUCUCCUGUCGGGGCUCUACCCUCAGGGCUACUGGGGGUGUAUCUGGUACAGAUGACUGUGCUCUCGCAGUCGUGUCCUUCUCUGGCGCUGUAGGUAUAGAAUCUGGAAUCUCUUUGUCGGCCGUCUGCCGCAGUAACAGACCUCUAACCUCUUUAUCCUGUCCUCCUGUCGACGCGCAGCGUCCAUCUGCUGUCGCGCUGCCGAUGCCUGCCGUGUCACUAGCUGAGUCAACACUGCGAGCUGUUCCUGUAACUCCCUGACCUCACUGGACCCCGAAGUGACGGAAGUCUCUACUUCUUCCGCAGCGGCCGCCUAAGCCGCCCCGGCGGUCCCAGAACGAGUCGUAGGCAUCUUGAGCUGCAGCACAAAAUGAAUAUAGAUUAAUAAAACCUAUACUAUUGACCCUUUACUUCAGAUAAAAAAAAAAUCAGCUAAUUAGCGAAAGUAAUGAGAUGUAACGCAUACUAACUUCCGAUGUUACGUUGUCGGCCGCCAACGUGACCCUCUGCAAAGUUAGUAAUUGCACAUCCCAAUCAAACUCCUACUAGUCGGAGUUUAUAAAUACCCAAUAAAAAUACUUUCGCUAACCACAACCUCGACUAGACGUCGUCUCUUACGAGCCUAUCCUUAUAGUCCAACCAGCUUAAGGUUUGCUAGGUCUACGAAGACUCAACCCUAGGCUCUGACACCACUAUAAUCUGUCACACCCGGGUACCAGCGGAAGCAUAUCAGGUACGUGCACAGACCCGCCAUACACCUGCAGUAUAUAAGGCGUCUACGAAGAAAGCAAGUCGAUAGGAAGUAAAACAAAGAGAGUCCUAUCCUGAUAUCAGAGCAAUGUACAAGUCGAUAUACUAUCAGUAAAAGAACAAAGAGUAUACAAUCCAAAAUCUCAGCAAAAGGAGAAGAAGUAUGAACUAUAACAUCUGGAUCUACAACUCAUAUACAACACAGGGUACACAAAAACAUCUAUACAAUGGUAGUCACUCUAUACAAUGGACAUCACCCUCGGCCGUAGCCCGAGUAGCAAGGUGAUCGACUAGCACGCUCCUAGCAAAGUCUAGCUAGACGCGACUCCCUUGCCACGAUCCCUAGCCUCUCCUGUAGAUGGCUCUGUAAAAACAACCAUAGAAAAGGGCGUGAGAACUAUUAACAAUAGUUCCCAGUGGGUAAGCCGUCAGCCUCGGCGAAUUACACCACUAGGCUCAUGAUGUAUUAAAUGGAAAGUAAAAGCAAUAAUUGCAUGAUGCUAACAAGUAAUGAGUAUGUAAUUGCAGGAUACCUUUCUAAUGCUAAGCAAUUAAUAAGCAUGUAAACAACAUGUAAUAGCUUUCUACAGUAAUGAAUUGAACAAUAAAAGCAUAGCAGCUACUGUAAGCAUGAACAUAAAUAUGAAUGUGUAAGCAGAAACUAUACACAAUGACCGGUGAUCAUUCAUUACUGUCCAAUAUCCUUUAGCACUUUCUUUUCAUUCACAGGGACCUACCCAAGGUAGUCCAGCUUGCGCCGCGCCUAAUGGCCCCGUGGUAGUAUACACUCCCCACGGCAAUCCACUUCGGCACCCAAUCCCGCACGGGCGAGCAACUGUCGCGUAGGCCAACUCCGGAGUGCCGGCUUGUAGGGAGCGACCCUCACAAGCGUGUGCGAAUGAGCACGAUGGCAAGCAAGCAUAUUUCACAGUCCACAGGUCUCAAUUAUCAUGCUUUCAUUUGUAAUGUUCUUACCCUCGAUCCUCUGAUCGGAAUUUCAAUACACGAAUAGUAACAAGAACUAGUAUCCACUAGAUUGUAAACAUGUAAGAGUAAUGUUAAAUCACAUGGCAUUAUAAUCUUUCCACUAUUAUGGCACUGUUAAUAUAAUCAUAAGCAUGUCAUAGUUCUCUACUUUAGAGUCAAGAGAAUGUCAUUGUUCUCUACUUUAUAAGUGCAUCCUACACUUGUUCAUAAGUCAUUCAACUGAAUUGAAUAUAAAUAUAAAUACUUUCAUGUAUAUGUGUUCUCUACUUUAUAGAGAUUUCA